rnacentral:rRNA from 1 species
UACGAAGGGGGCUAGCGUUGUUCGGAAUUAUUGGGCGUAAAGGGAGCGUAGGCGGUUCGGCAAGUCUCUAGUGAAAUCUCUGGGCUCAACCCAGAGCCUGCUGGGGAAACUGCCGGGCUUGAGUAUGGGAGAGGUGAGUGGAACUCCGAGUGUAGAGGUGAAAUUCGUAGAUAUUAGGAAGAACACCAGUGGCGAAGGCGGCUCACUGGUCCGGUACUGACGCUGAGGCGCGAAAGCGUGGGGAGCAAACAGG